rnacentral:rRNA from 1 species
GACGAACGCUGGCGGCGUGCUUAACACAUGCAAGUCGAACGAAGUGGCGAACGGGUGAGUAACGCGUAAUCAACCUGCCCUUCAGAGGGGGAUAACAGUUGGAAACGAUUGCUAAUACCGCAUACUGAAGGUGGGGAUUUCGUCUGCUUAGCUAGGUGGGGGGGUAACGUCCCACCAAGGCGGUGAUCAGGAGCCGGUCUGAGAGGGUGAACGGCCAAACUGGGACUGAGACACGGCCCAGAAUCCUACGGGAGGCAGCAGUGGGGAAUCUUCGGCAAUGGAGGAAAGUCUGACGGAGCAACGCCGCGUGAGUGAUGACGGCCUUCGGGUUGUAAAGCUCUGUUAAUCGGGACGCGGUACCGGAAUAGAAAGCCACGACUAACUACGUGCCAGCAGCCGCGGUAAUAC